AUACGUAGGGGACGAGCGUUGUCCGGAAUUACUGGGCGUAAAGGGCGCGCAGGCGGAUAUUUAAGUCAGCUGUAAAAGGCAUGAGCUCAACUCAUGUAUGCGGUUGAAACUGGGUAUCUAGAGUGCUGGAGAGGUAGGCGGAAUUCCCGGGGGAGCGGGGAAAUGCGUAGAUAUCGGGAAGAACACCAGUGGCGAAGGCGGCUUACUGGCCAGCAACUGACGCUGAGGCGCGAAAGCCAGGGGAGCGAACGGGAUUAGAUACCCCGGUAGUCCUGGCCGUAAACGAUGAAUGCUAGGUGUGGGUGUCGAGAGGCAUCCGUGCCGGAGUUAACGCGAUAAGCAUUCCGCCUGGGGAGUACGAUCGCAAGAUUGAAACUCAAAGGAAUUGACGGG
rnacentral:rRNA from 1 species